GGGUUGUGAGGUUAAGCGACUAAGCGUACACGGUGGAUGCCCUGGCAGUCAGAGGCGAUGAAGGACGUGCUAAUCUGCGAUAAGCGUCGGUAAGGUGAUAUGAACCGUUAUAACCGGCGAUUUCCGAAUGGGGAAACCCAGUGUGUUUCGACACACUAUCAUUAACUGAAUCCAUAGGUUAAUGAGGCGAACCGGGGGAACUGAAACAUCUAAGUACCCCGAGGAAAAGAAAUCAACCGAGAUUCCCCCAGUAGCGGCGAGCGAACGGGGAGGAGCCCAGAGCCUGAAUCAGUGUGUGUGUUAGUGGAAGCGUCUGGAAAGGCGCGCGAUACAGGGUGACAGCCCCGUACACAAAAAUGCACAUGCUGUGAGCUCGAUGAGUAGGGCGGGACACGUGGUAUCCUGUCUGAAUAUGGGGGGACCAUCCUCCAAGGCUAAAUACUCCUGACUGACCGAUAGUGAACCAGUACCGUGAGGGAAAGGCGAAAAGAACCCCGGCGAGGGGAGUGAAAAAGAACCUGAAACCGUGUACGUACAAGCAGUGGGAGCACGCUUAGGCGUGUGACUGCGUACCUUUUGUAUAAUGGGUCAGCGACUUAUAUUCUGUAGCAAGGUUAACCGAAUAGGGGAGCCGAAGGGAAACCGAGUCUUAACUGGGCGUUAAGUUGCAGGGUAUAGACCCGAAACCCGGUGAUCUAGCCAUGGGCAGGUUGAAGGUUGGGUAACACUAACUGGAGGACCGAACCGACUAAUGUUGAAAAAUUAGCGGAUGACUUGUGGCUGGGGGUGAAAGGCCAAUCAAACCGGGAGAUAGCUGGUUCUCCCCGAAAGCUAUUUAGGUAGCGCCUCGUGAAUUCAUCUCCGGGGGUAGAGCACUGUUUCGGCAAGGGGGUCAUCCCGACUUACCAACCCGAUGCAAACUGCGAAUACCGGAGAAUGUUAUCACGGGAGACACACGGCGGGUGCUAACGUCCGUCGUGAAGAGGGAAACAACCCAGACCGCCAGCUAAGGUCCCAAAGUCAUGGUUAAGUGGGAAACGAUGUGGGAAGGCCCAGACAGCCAGGAUGUUGGCUUAGAAGCAGCCAUCAUUUAAAGAAAGCGUAAUAGCUCACUGGUCGAGUCGGCCUGCGCGGAAGAUGUAACGGGGCUAAACCAUGCAC
rnacentral:rRNA from 1 species